rnacentral:rRNA from 1 species
UACGGAGGAUCCAAGCGUUAUCCGGAUUCAUUGGGUUUAAAGGGUGCGUAGGCGGAAUUGUAAGUCAGUGGUGAAAUCUCUUCGCUUAACGAAGAAACUGCCAUUGAUACUGCAAAUCUUGAGUACAUUUGAUGUGGGCGGAAUGUGUCAUGUAGCGGUGAAAUGCUUAGAUAUGACACAGAACACCGAUUGCGAAGGCAGCUCACAAAACUGUAACUGACGCUGAGGCACGAAAGCGUGGGUAUCAAACAGG